AAGUUGUCUUUUUCUGUUUUUGUCCUUCGCCAUAAUUCAACAAACGCAGACACACAAACACAAAAGUCUUUCCCUUCACACAAACUGGUCGGGGAGAGCAUGCAAAGAACAACGUGCCUUAUGAGAUAAUAGAGAAGACUUGUGCAUUCUUUGCUCUUUGCUUUCUUCAUGCUUGCCAACUCACUUCCUCACUCUCUCAGAAUAGAAAGAAAUCAUUGGAGUUUGAAGGCAAAAGGAUAUGCUAUGAAGCAACUGAGAAAGAGCCUCUUGUUCCUUAGAGUGUGAUCUCCUAAUGAUUCAGGACUUGAAAGUGAAAAAGGGUAUUGGGAAUAAGAGCAGAAGCCAUGUGAAAAACUGUGCAUAUGGAUGGAAAGCCAAACUUUUUUGACAAAGAUUCAGAUUCUCCAUUUAUGUUUUCUUUCUCUUUUCCUCUUGCUAUUUCUAGAAAAAUAACGUUUUAAUCUCUCAAUCAAGUGAAGAAUAAGCAGAAAAUAUACAACCUUAUCCACCAAAUCGAUCAGCACAAUUCAGCUUGAGGCAAGUGGGAACAGAGAGGUAGCUACUAGCUGGCGAUGGAGCAGUCGGAAAAAUCACCAAAGAAAUUAUCAUCACUGAGAUCAUCAUUUCCCAGAGACCCACGUGGCUCACUCGAAGUGUUCAACCCAACAACUUCAGCCAACUCCAGAGCGGGGUCACAACCGUUGUGGAAAACUUGGACGGAAUCCGAAGAACCACGGAACCUCUCCGAUGAAAUUGCCACCUCCACCUCCUGGAUGGCCAUCAAUUCCCCACCUCCGCCCACCGGAGAAUGUGGUGCCGCCGCCCAGAGAGCAGCCGAGUGGGGUUUGGUCCUCAGAACCGACACCGAGACCGGCAAGCCUCAAGGCGUGACAGUUCGGAACUCCGGCGGCGAGGAACCCAACGCCAAACUCGCCGCCUCUUCUUCUUCCAGAAGAAACUCUCGCAACUCCGCCAGAACAUCCGGCGACUCUUCGGACGGCGGCGCCGUCGGCUGGAUUCCGAGAGUUUCGGAGGACUUGAAAGACGCUUUAUCGGCUUUCCAACAAACUUUUGUGGUUUCGGAUGCUACCAAACCCGAUUACCCGAUCCUAUAUGCCAGUGCGGGGUUUUUCAAAAUGACGGGUUAUACGUCCAAGGAAGUCAUAGGGAGAAACUGUCGGUUUUUGCAGGGUGCGGAUUCGGAUUCUGAUGACGUGGCAAAGAUAAGGGAAGCAUUGCAAGCAGGGAAAAGUUACUGCGGAAGGCUAUUAAAUUACAAGAAGGAUGGAACGCCUUUCUGGAAUCUUCUAACCAUUUCACCUAUUAAAGGAGAUGAUGGCAAAGUGAUCAAAUUUAUCGGAAUGCAAGUGGAGGUUAGCAAGCAUACGGAGGGGUCCAAGGAGAAGACGCUACGUCCCAAUGGAUUGCCAGAAUCCUUGAUUCGAUAUGAUGCCCGUCAGAAAGAGAAGGCUACAACUUCAGCAUCUGAGUUGGUGCAGGCCAUGAAGCGCCCCCGAGCAUUCAGUGAAUCCACAAACCGUCCCUUCAUCAGAAAAUCAGAAGGUGCUGAACAAGAAGAAGAAGAUGAUGACGACGAAGACAAAGCAGAAAAAACACUAAGAAGAAAAUCUGAGAGUGUGGCUUCGUUUAGACGGAAAUCACAAGGAGGAAAUAGAAUUUCAAUGCAGCGUAUCAGUGAACUGCCUGAAAAUAAACAGAAAAACUCUCAUCGCCGUUCUUUCAUGGGGUUCAUGAGGAAGAGUCAGUCCAGUGAUGAAAGCAUCAAUAAUGAGGUUGUUGAGGACGUCAGCUCUGAGAGUGAGGAUGAUGAAAGGUCUCAUAGUUUUGAAUUCGAUGACAAAGAAAAUCAGAGGGAAAAGCGAAAGGGUCUUGAUCUUGCUACCACACUUGAACGUAUUGAGAAAAACUUUGUCAUUACUGAUCCACGGCUUCCUGACAAUCCUAUAAUUUUUGCAUCUGAUAGUUUCUUAGAGCUUACAGAAUAUAGUCGUGAAGAAAUCUUGGGAAGAAAUUGCAGGUUUCUGCAAGGACCCGAGACUGAUCCAGCAACUGUGAGAAAAAUUAGGGAGGCAAUUGACAACCAAACAGAAGUUACCGUGCAACUCAUUAAUUAUACAAAGAGUGGAAAAAAAUUCUGGAACUUGUUUCAUUUACAACCCAUGCGUGAUCAGAAGGGUGAGGUGCAGUAUUUUAUUGGUGUUCAACUUGAUGGCAGUCAACAUGUAGAGCCUCUUCACAACUGCAUCACAGAAGAUACUGCAAAGGAGGGAGAACAAAUGGUCAAACAAACUGCAGAAAAUGUGGAUGAGGCGGUGAGAGAACUUCCAGAUGCUAAUAUGAAACCAGACGAUUUAUGGAUGAAUCAUUCAAAAGUAGUUCGCCCCAAACCUCACAGGAAGAAUGAUGCUGCAUGGAGAGCUAUCCAGAAGAUCCUAGAAAGUGGAGAACAAAUAGGUCUAAGUCACUUUAAGCCAAUUAAACCUUUGGGGUCAGGAGACACUGGCAGUGUGCAUCUGGUGGAGCUACGCGGAACUGGUCAAUAUUUUGCCAUGAAGGCUAUGGAUAAGGGUGUUAUGCUCAAUCGUAACAAGGUGCAUAGAGCUUGCACAGAGAGAGAAAUCCUUGAUAAGUUGGACCACCCUUUUCUACCUGCAUUAUAUGCUUCCUUUCAGACCAAAACACACGUUUGUUUGAUAACUGAUUAUUGUCCUGGUGGAGAACUGUUCCUGCUUCUUGAUCGACAGCCAACCAAGGUUCUCAAGGAAGACGCAGUGAGAUUUUAUGCAGCCGAAGUAGUGAUUGCAUUGGAGUAUCUUCAUUGUCAAGGGAUAAUAUAUCGGGAUUUGAAGCCAGAAAAUGUGUUAAUCCAGAGCAAUGGACAUGUGUCUUUAACAGAUUUUGAUUUGUCAUGUCUAACAUCUUGCAAGCCACAGCUUAUAAUUCCAGCAACAAAGGAAAAGAAGAAAAAGAAGAAAAAACAGAGAAGUCAGCAGGUUCCAAUGUUUAUGGCUGAACCAGUGAGAGCAUCGAAUUCUUUUGUUGGCACGGAAGAGUACAUAGCUCCGAGACCUUUUGAUUUCUUGAAGUGGGGUGGGGUGGGGUGGGAUCUUGGUGACUAUAUGAAGUAUACAAAGAGAAAUUAUAACUGGUUCAGGUCAUACUAGUGCUGUGGAUUGGUGGGCUCUUGGUAAGUUUUAAUUCUUAUAAAAAAAGACGCAAUUAUGAAUCUAAAUAAGUUUCUAAACAUUAAAAAAAAAUAACAGGAGAGCUUAAAUUCAUUUUUUAUUCAGUUUGUGUAGUGGAUAUUAAUGUUUACAUAGAUUAUCAGUUUUUAACUUUUAAGCAUUUGUUUUAUUAAUUCUCUUUACUAUUCUCAAUACUUUUCAUUUGUUACCUUUCUUUUCACCUAAGUAUGCAUAUCCGAUUUAAUGAUUAGGAGACUAGAAAUUGAAAGGGUUAGGAAAUGCAAACAUAAAUGCUAAAAAUAAGCAUUUAUCUCUCAUCAUUGUUGCAUCUAACUCAUGUUAAAAUAUUGUGAUUAAUUAAAAUCAUUGAUCACAUCAUUAUCUCUUGGACUCUUUCGCACACAAAAGGCAACUCUCAGACGAGUGUGGAUUAUGGAAAUGUUCGAAACAAAUUAAAAUUCUAUUACACUGUUUGACUUUAAUGCUUCUAUUUAGGUAUUCUUCUAUAUGAAAUGCUUUAUGGGUAUACGCCAUUCAGGGGAAAGGCAAGGCAAAAAACAUUUGCAAAUAUUCUUCACAAGGAUCUUAAAUUUCCCAAAAGCAAACCGGUGAGUGCCAUGCAACGUAAUUUAUCAUACAUUUGUCUGUGUUAGGAAAUGCAUCCUUCGGAAAAAGAAAAAAAAAAAAUUCUUCAAACUAACUAUUAAUGUCUGAUGUAUCAGUUACUCAAGUGUGGAGCAGGAUUCCAAUGUCAUCAUAGCUCGCAUAGCAUAUGCAUACUCCUAAAACAAUUUUGAAUACUUGAUGUAACACUAAUUGUUCACUUCCAAUCCAUCGUCAAAUAAGAAUGUUCACGUAAAAUUCUUAUGAAAAUCCCAUUUAGUCAUACUUGAGUUGGGAGUUAUAUGCAUCAUGGUGAGGGAUAAAAACCUCCACAAGUUCGAAUGCCACUAUGUGAACACAAAUUAAACGAUGAUGUUGUUUUAAUAUGCAACAAGUCUUGAUGCAGGUAAGUCUCCAUGCAAAGCAGCUAAUAUACUGGUUGUUGCACAGAGAUCCCAAAGACAGAUUGGGUUCACAUGAAGGAGCAAAUGAAAUUAAGCGUCAUCCUUUCUUCCGGGGUGUCAAUUGGGCACUAGUUCGUUCCAUGAAACCUCCUGAGGUUGAUGCUCCUCCCUCACUUGCAACUGAAGAAGAAAAAGAAGCCAAAAAUAUAGAGCCCGAGCUAGAUGUUUUUUGAAAGGAUUAGAAGAUGAAAUUAUGUGGCAUUCAAGACACACAUGAUGAAUUCUCUGUGUUUUUGGAAUAAUUAAUGGAAUUUCAAUCCCGUGCUUCAGUGGUGCAUCAUGUUCAUUGUAUUAUAUAUAAAUGGAGAUCUAGAAUAAUUUUUUUAGUUUAUGCUACUUUGGUGCAUGCCCUUUCCAAUAGGGAAUAGGGGUGAGGACCAUUGGGCAGUUAGUCUAGUGUGGAAAUUUUUGUAUAUUUUUAGAAUAAUAUUUUGAGUAAAGUAGAAUAUGCCAUGUAAUAAUAUAAAAAAUAAACCUGUAUUGUUAAACCAUUUUUUAUGAAAAGAUUUUAUUUUUAUG